rnacentral:rRNA from 1 species
AAUGAACGUUGGCGGCGUGGAUUAGGCAUGCAAGACGUGCGAGAACCGUAGCAAUACGGGGACAGCGGCGAAAGGGAGAGUGACACGUGGAUACCAACCCUUGGGACUGGGAUAGCUACGGGAAACUGUAGGUAAUACCAGAUGACGUCUCCGGACCAAAGGUGUGAUUCCGCCCGAGGACGGGUCCGCGUUCUAUUAGCUAGUUGGUAGGGUAAUGGCCUACCAAGGCAAAGAUGGAUACGGGGUGUGAGAGCAUGCCCCCGCUCACUGGGACUGAGAUACUGCCCAGACACCUACGGGUGGCUGCAGUCGAGGAUCUUCGGCAAUGGGCGCAAGCCUGACCGAGCGACGCCGCGUGCGAGAUGAAGGCCUUCGGGUUGUAAAUCGCUGUCAGUGGGGAGGAAAUGCCGGUGGGUUCUCCCAUCGGUUUGACCUAUCCGCAGAGGAAGGACGGGCUAAGUUCGUGCCAGCCGCCGCGGUAAUAC